rnacentral:rRNA from 1 species
UACAGAGGUCUCAAGCGUUGUCCGGAUUCAUUGGGCGUAAAGGGUGCGUAGGUGGCGAGGCAAGUCAGAUGUGGAAUCCCGGGGCUCAACCCCGGAACUGCAUUUGAAACUGCCUUGCUCGAGUACUGGAGAGGAGACUGGAAUUUACGGUGUAGCAGUGAAAUGCGUAGAUAUCGUAAGGAAGACCAGUGGCGAAGGCGAGUCUCUGGACAGUUACUGACACUGAGGCACGAAGGCCAGGGGAGCAAACGGG